rnacentral:rRNA from 1 species
UACGUAGGGGGCAAGCGUUGUCCGGAAUUAUUGGGCGUAAAGAGCGUGUAGGCGGUUCAAUUAGUCUGCUGUGAAAGUCGGGGGCUCAACCCGCGAAAGCCGGUGGAUACUGUUGGACUAGAGUACGGAAGAGGCGAGUGGAAUUCCUGGUGUAGCGGCGAAAUGCGCAGAUAUCAGGAGGAACACCUAUUGCGAAGGCAGCUCGCUGGGACGUAACUGACGCUGAGACGCGAAAGCGUGGGGAGCAAACAGG